GACGAACGCUGGCGGAGUGCCUAAUACAUGCAAGUCGAGCGAAGCGGCGGAUGGGUGAGUAACGCGUGGGUAACCUGCCCUUAAGUCUGGGAUACCAUUUGGAAACAGAUGCUAAUACCGGAUACUAAAGGAUGGACCUGCGAUGCAUUAGCUAGUUGGUAAGGUAACGGCUUACCAAGGCGAUGAUGCAUAGCCGAGUUUAGAUACGUGUCUUCCCCAUUGGGACUGAGACCCGGCCCAACCUCCUCCAAGCUUCAUCCUUACUCAAUCUUCCACAAUUGACGAAAGUCUGUGUGAGCAACGCCGCGUGAGUGAAGAAUUUUUUCGGAUCUUAAAGCUCUUUUGUUUGUGAAGCGGUAAUCAACCAGAAAGUCACGGCUAACUACGUGCCAGCAGCCGCGGUAAUUC
rnacentral:rRNA from 1 species